rnacentral:rRNA from 1 species
GAUGAACGCUGGCGGCGUGCCUAAUACAUGCAAGUCGAGCGAACGGACGAGAAGCUUGCUUCUCUGAUGUUAGCGGCGGACGGGUGAGUAACACGUGGAUAACCUACCUAUAAGACUGGGAUAACUUCGGGAAACCGGAGCUAAUACCGGAUGAUAUUUUGAACCGCAUGGUUCAAAAGUGAAAGACGGUCUUGCGGUCACUUAUAGAUGGAUCCGCGCUGCAUUAGCUAGUUGGUAAGGUAACGGCUUACCAAGGCAACGAUGCAUAGCCGACCUGAGAGGCUGAUCGGCCACACUGGAACUGAGACGCGGUCCAUGCGCCUACGGGAGGCAGCAGUAGGGAAUCUUCCGCAGUGGGCGAAAGCCUGACGGAGCAACGCCGCGCGAGUGAUGAAGGUCUUCGGAUCGUAAUACUCUGUUAUUAGGUAUGAACAUAUGUGUAAGUAACUGUGCACAUCUUGACGGUACCUAAUCAGAAAGCCACGGCUAACUACGUG